AAUAUUGCGCAAUGGACGAAAGUCUGACGCAGCGACGCCGCGUGUGGGAGGAAGCUCUUCGGGGUGUAAACCACUGUCAGGAGGGAAGAAAGGCGCUGACUCGAACAGGGUCUAGCGAUUGACGGUACCUCCAAAGGAAGCGCCGGCUAACUCCGUGCCAGCAGCCGCGGUAAGACGGAGGGCGCAAGCGUUGUUCGGAAUUACUGGGCGUAAAGAGCGCGCAGGCGGUCGUUCAAGUCGCGUGUGAAAGCCCCCGGCUCAACUGGGGAGGGUCACGCGAUACUGAUCGACUCGAAGGCAGGAGAGGGUAGUGGAAUUCCCGGUGUAGUGGUGAAAUGCGUAGAUAUCGGGAGGAACACCAGUGGCGAAGGCGACUACCUGGCCUGUUCUUGACGCUGAGGCGCGAAAGCUAGGGGAGCAAAC
rnacentral:rRNA from 1 species